CGUACCGGUCAGUUUGUGAAUCUGGGCCUUUCAAGUUCAGCUCCAGUAUGGGUAUAGAGUUGGGUCCUCAUCUACUGGAAUGACUGAAAUUGUUUUAUGAAUGUGUGUCCAGGUUGAGAAAGAACCCAUCCUGCUCCAAACCCCAUUCCUUGAAGAUCUCUCCACAUUAAAUUGAGUAAUCAUCUGAAAAGAUCCUCUCACAUAAAACCAACCGAUUCAGACACCAUGAAAUAAGCAAAAUUCUAUUGUAUGCUGCUUUGGGAGAGGUGGUUGGGAUAAGAUUGGUUAGAUGGCAGGUUGAGCUGAAGACACCAAGGAACAGAGAGCAAAUGCUUCUGGGAUCAGGCCACCUGGAUGUGAUUGUACCCUUUUCCCUCUCUUUGGGUGGGACUGAGGGCUCUCUUUGUUCAGCAGGCAGCGGUGCAGAAACGAGACCCCAAUGCUCUGACUUUGGAGUCCUGGAGUGAUUCACUGCAAGUGGUUGCCUCUCAACUUUCCUUGCUGGCAGCCCCACUUUGAGGACAGGAUUGCCAUGUCCAUGGGCCUGAAUCCUGAAGAAGCUGGUAUUGAGUUCCAAGGUGCUCCAGAUCAUUAUUGAUGCAUCAGAAGAUAAAAGUCUCCCCUCCUCACCGAAUCUGGUCCAAGACCCAUUUCCUUUGCUGUUGAACAUACAGAAGACAAUAAUUCAGCUUCCAAAGCCACAGACAGAAGCAUAUUAAGGGCAGGGGUAUGUGCUUUUUUUCUUUCUUCUUUUUUUUUUCUAAACAGAUCACAAGGCAGAUUUUUAAAUUGAAGAUCCAUGUCAAUGUCUUAUUUCCUUUUUUAAACCACAAAGCAACACUCUCUGCAGGAUUAUUUGAGCCUCCAAUGCUUCGUUUUCUGGGUUAAGGCCCCCCCCACAUCACCAACUUGGCCAUUAUCGCUAUUACAGAUGGGGCUGAUGUGGCUUUGGUAUUUUCAUGCAGAUUUUCUUAUUUUUAUCAGUGAUCUGCCCAGAGGUGUAAAAUUUUAAUAAAUAGAGAAAUAAAGUUUCCGAAACUAAUUCACGAAGGGGAAAAUAAGCACAAUUUGAAUUCUGCACUGUGGGUUUCACCGCCAAGCUAUAUCGCCCCAUCAUAUUCAUUACUCUCAUGGGCUGCUUUAAAGGGAACAUUGUCAAACAUAUGGAAAGCGGACAGGACAAAAGUAUACUAGA